AAGUCGUAACAAGGUCUCCGUUGGUGAACCAGCGGAGGGAUCAUUACAGAGUUAUACAACUCCCACACCAUUUGCCAACCUUACUCAGUUAUGCCUCGGCGUAAGCUCGGCUCGGAGGCGUGCCGUCUGGCGCGCGAUACUCCUGCCGCAGCCCGCCGGUGGUACACUAAACUCUUGUUUUAUUUUAUAUUCUGAGCGUCUUAUUUUAAUAAGUUAAAACUUUCAACAACGGAUCUCUUGGUUCUGGCAUCGAUGAAGAACGCAGCGAAAUGCGAUAAGUAAUGUGAAUUGCAGAAUUCAGUGAAUCAUCGAAUCUUUGAACGCACAUUGCGCCCAUUAGUAUUCUAGUGGGCAUGCCUGUUCGAGCGUCAUUUCAACCCUUAAGCCUAGCUUAGUGUUGGGAAUCUACUGUAUUGUAGUUCCUUAAAGACAGUGGCGGAGCGAUAGUUGUCCUCUGAGCGUAGUAAUCUUUAUUCUCGCUUCUGUUAGGCUCUAUCUUCUCGCCAUAAAACCCCCAAUUUUUUAGUGGUUGACCUCGGAUCAGGUAGGAAUACCCGCUGAACUUAA
rnacentral:rRNA from 1 species